rnacentral:rRNA from 1 species
CCUACGGGAGGCAGCAGUGAGGAAUAUUGGUCAAUGGCCGGAAGGCUGAACCAGCCAUGCCGCGUGAAGGUCAGUGCCCUUUGGGCGUUUAACUUUCUUUGUGCGGGAGCAAUAAUGGACACGUGUGGCUAGACGAGAGUACCGUACGAAUAAGCAUCGGCUAACUCCGUGCCAGCAGCCGCGGUAAUACGGGGGAUGCAAGCGUUAUCCGGAUUUAUUGGGUUUAAAGGGGGCGUAGGCUGUGAGGUAAGUCAGCGGUGAAAUGCCCCCGCUCAACGGGGUGAAGUGCCAUUGAUACUGGCGUGCUGGAAUGCGGAUGCCGUGGGAGGAAUGUGUGGUGUAGCGGUGAAAUGCAUAGAUAUCACACAGAACACCGAUUGCGAAGGCAUCUCACGAAUCCGCGAUUGACGCUGAUGCACGAAAGCGUGGGUAUCAAACAGGAUUAGAUACCCUGGUAGUC